AGGAGUUUCACUAACUUGUGUCCUGGGCCAAGGGAUCGAGAAAGUUUCGUGCAUUCUUCUUGCUAAACUAAUUUUACUUUACAAAAAGUUGUCAAAAAUGGCAGCUUUGGGAGGAAAACAAGCAAAGCUAGGGCUAUGGAGUUUCCGAGAAAAAUCUCUGCAGGCUUGAAGAUAAAGGGAGAGUCCAAGAAAAUUUCUACUUCACCACCACUGCCUCACACUCUGCCCCACGCACACUUGCCUUCUUUAAGACCUAACAAAAGACCUAAAACAGUCCUGUGAUUUUCCUAGGGGUUUAAGUUCUGUGCUGCAGCAACCUCAUUCUAACGUGACGAAGGCCAGCCAGGAAAGGCGGGAAGCUGCAAGCACGGGUUAAGUGGAGCCUGGCCAGUAGGGUGUACAGGAAGGAAAUGCAGAGGGCUCCUGGCUGCAGCACCCAGGAGAGUAAUGGUAAUAUUUCAGCACUCUCAACCCCCAAGUUUUCCUAGGAGAUCAAACAGAAGGCAAUAUACAUAAGAAGACUUACUGAGUAAGAAGGAGCGAAGAGACCGAAUGGUGAAUUUUGGUUCCAAACUCCGUACAGAUCCCUGAACUGAGGAGGCAAGAUCAGUUUGGCAGUUGAAGCAGCUGGAAUCUGCAAUUCAGAGAAUCUAAGAAAAGACAACCCUGAAGAGAGAGACCCAGAAACCUAGCAGGAGUUUCUCCAAACAUUCAAGGCUGAGGGAUAAAUGUUACAUGCACAGGGUGAGCCUCCAGAGGCUUGUCCAUUAGCAACUGCUACAGUUUCAUUAUCUCAGGGAUCACAGAUUGUGCUACCUAUUGCCUACCAUCUGAAAACAGUUGCUUCCUAUAUUUCAUCCAGUUUAAUAUUUAUUUAAACCAAGAAGGUUAAUCUGGCACCAGCUAUUCCGUUGUGAGUGGAUGUGAAAGUACCAAUUCCAUUCUGUUUUACUAUUAACUAUCCUUUGCCUUAAUAUGUAUCAGUAGGUGGCUUGUUGCUAGGAAAUAUUAAAUGAAUGGCAUGUUUCA